rfam:Cucumis melo, WGS project CAJI01000000 data, contig: 02622
UGGAGUAUAGCAAAAUGGUAAGGCAUCAAUUUUUGGUACAGGCAUGCAAAGGUUUGAAUCCUUUUACUCGAU